rnacentral:rRNA from 1 species
UGUAGUCUCGCACAGAUGCAUAUCAAUAAGCGGAGGAAAAGAAACUAACAAGGAUUCCCUUAGUAACGGCGAGUGUAGCGGGAAGAGCUCAAAUUUGAAAUCUUAAAGGGUUUCCCUUGACGAGUUGUAGUUUAAAGAAGUGUUUUCUGUUGAAGGUUUUGGUAAAAGUUCUUUGGAAUAGGACAUCAUAGAGGGUGAGAAUCCCGUAUUUGACCAUUUACUUUUCAGCUUUGUGAUACACUUUCAAGAGGGUCGGAUUGUUUGGGAAUGCAGUCCAAAAUGGGUGGUAAAUUUCAUCUAAAGCUAAAUAUUGGCGAGAGACCGAUAGCGAACAAGUACCGUGAGGGAAAGAUGAAAAGAACUUUGAAAAGAGAGUUAAACAGUACGUGAAAUUGUCAAAAGGGAAGCGUUUGACACCAGUGUUGUUUUCUCGAAAAUAAAUUAAAAAGAGUUUGAUUUUGUUGUGUAUUGACCUUAACAGCUUGCAUUUCAAUUUUCUUGCUUUUUUUAAUGCACUUUUCGUUUAACAAGUCAACAUCAGUUUCUUUUGUUGUAAAAAGGUCAUUGGAAGGUGGCUUUCUUUUCGGAGAAAGUGUUUAUAGCCUUUGACUCCUGCAAUCGGAGAGACUGAGGUCUGCAGCGUAGAUCCUUCGGGGUUAGAUACAUUUGUGCUAAGUUAUAGCUUUUUAUAGACAACUUGUUGACUAUGAUUAGUCUUGUAGCUUACUCGCUUAUGCUAUUUUACCUACGCUUAGGAUGUUGAGCGCAUGUCUCUCUCU